rnacentral:rRNA from 1 species
GACGAACGCUGGCGGCGUGCUUAACACAUGCAAGUCGAACGGGCCUGUCUUCUUUUUUGGGGGUGGGUUGAGUGGCGAACGGGUGAGUAUCACGUGAGUAACCUGCCCUUCGGUCCUGGAUAACCGCUUGAAAGGGCGGCUAAUACGGGGUGGUCCGGUUGGUCCGCAUGGGCUGGUCGGGAUAGAUUCACUGUUUUUGGUGUUUCGGCGGGGGAUGGGCUCGCGGCCUAUCAGCUUGUUGGUGGGGUGAUGGCCUACCAAGGCGGUGACGGGUAGCCGGCCUGAGAGGGUGGGCGGCCACACUGGGACUGAGAUACGGCCCAGACUCCUGCGGGAGGCAGCAGUGGGGGGUAUUGCACAAUGGGCGGAAGCCUGAUGCAGCGACGUCGCGUGAGGGAUGGAGGCCUUCGGGUUAUGAACCUCUGUUUCCGGUGGUGAAGGCCCUGUCCGUGUGGUGGGGUUGACGGUAGCCGGGGAUGAAGCGCCGGCUAACUACGUG